UACGAAGGGUGCAAGCGUUAAUCGGAAUUACUGGGCGUAAAGGGUGCGUAGGCGGUUAGUUAAGUCUGUUGUGAAAUCCCGAGGCUCAACCUCGGGUCUGCAGUCGAUACGGGCAAACUUGAGUGUUGCAGGGGAGACUGGAAUUCCUGGUGUAGCGGUGAAAUGCGCAGAUAUCAGGAGGAACACCGGUGGCGAAGGCGGGUCUCUGGGCAACAACUGACGCUGAGGCACGAAAGCGUGGGGAGCAAACAGG
rnacentral:rRNA from 1 species